rnacentral:rRNA from 1 species
AUUGAACGCUGGCGGCAUGCCUUACACAUGCAAGUCGAACGGUAACAGCUCUUCGGUUGCUGACGAGUGGCGAACGGGUGAGUAAUACAUCGGAACGUGCCCGGUCGUGGGGGAUAACUAAGCGAAAGCUUUGCUAAUACCGCAUAAGAUCUACGGAUGAAAGCAGGGGACCUCAGGGCCUUGCGCUACUGGAGCGGCCGAUGGCAGAUUAGGUAGUUGGUGGGAUAAAAGCUUACCAAGCCGACGAUCUGUAGCUGGUCUGAGAGGACGACCAGCCACACUGGGACUGAGACACGGCCCAGACUCCUACGGGAGGCAGCAGUGGGGAAUUUUGGACAAUGGGCGAAAGCCUGAUCCAGCCAUGCCGCGUGCAGGAUGAAGGCCUUCGGGUUGUAAACUGCUUUUGUACGGAACGAAAAGACUCUGGUUAAUACCUGGGGUCCAUGACGGUACCGUAAGAAUAAGCACCGGCUAACUACGUG